rnacentral:rRNA from 1 species
AUGGUACUUAGGCAGUUCCCUUUGAGCAAUAUGUGCUUUCGUGACCAACAUCUUUGGCGUGUGCGUUGCCCCAUGAUAUGCUUUUAUGCGGUGGAGUGGCAUCUUCCACAUCGUGUUUCGAAGCAAUUUGGAGUACAACAACGCACCCCGCCGGAGUAUGUUGAGACAAGUGUGGUGCUACAUAUGACGAGCCGGCAACACAACAAGAAUGUCAUUAAUUGGGAGGAUCACCAUCUUAUGUGGGUGGACAUGUGGAAUGCUCAGAGGAAUGCCCGAGUUGAAGAUGAUCACACACCUGACAACGACGAGGGGGCAUAUUUAAGGCGUUUGGAGUGGCUUCGCAAAGAGUACAGAGUUAUCCUUAAGGGUGCUUGGACUCGUGCCAAUUGUUUGGAAGUAAUGCCAAGUGAGGCUGCUGAUGGUGCAUUCAACAACUCUAUUAGGGAGACCAUUGGAGCGCACCUAGAUUAUGGCCCUCUGCAUGACCGAGUGGGCACAGAGCUAUGGAGAUGUAUCAAUGAUAGUAAUGUGGUGCUUGGCCGCCCACCUGGUAGAGAAACGGACGGUCUCGUUAGGAGUACUCUACAGAAGGUUGUGAAUCGUUGCUGA